AAAAGGCAUGUUUCCUGUGUUUCACUUUCAAUGUGAAUCAUGUCUUCCUGUGAACCCUCAGGAAUCCUGUGUCUUCUAUUCAAAACAGGACAUGACACAAAAGAAUCUUAACAAUAGGCUCCUCUCUCUACUUUGCUUCAUGAUGAAAUCUGUGACCACCCAGGUCCUGUUUGUCUGUGAAGAUCAGUUUGAAGGCGAAAGUGGAGGAAAGAUAAAGAAAACGAAGAGGCUGUUAUAUAAGUG
rnacentral:lncRNA from 1 species